AUUGAACGCUGGCGGCAUGCUUUACACAUGCAAGUCGGACGGCAGCACAGAGAAGCUUGCUUCUUGGGUGGCGAGUGGCGAACGGGUGAGUAACAUAUCGGAACGUACCGAGCAGUGGGGGAUAACUGAUCGAAAGAUUAGCUAAUACCGCAUAUAUUCUGAGGAAGAAAGCAGGGGACCAUUUGGCCUUGCGCUGUUUGAGCGGCCGAUAUCUGAUUAGCUAGUUGGUGGGGUAAAGGCCUACCAAGGCGACGAUCAGUAGCGGGUCUGAGAGGAUGAUCCGCCACACUGGGACUGAGACACGGCCCAGACUCCUACGGGAGGCAGCAGUGGGGAAUUUUGGACAAUGGGCGCAAGCCUGAUCCAGCCAUGCCGCGUGUCUGAAGAAGGCCUUCGGGUUGUAAAGGACUUUUGUCAGGGAAGAAAAGGGUGGGGUUAAUACCCCUGUCUGAUGACG
rnacentral:rRNA from 1 species